GAGGGUAUAGCUCAAGUGGUAGGUCACAUGCUUAAUAUGCAUGAGGUCCUGGGUUCAAUCCCCAGUACCUCCU
rnacentral:tRNA from 1 species